rnacentral:rRNA from 1 species
CCUACGGGUGGCAGCAGUGAGGAAUAUUGGUCAAUGGCCGAGAGGCUGAACCAGCCAAGUCGCGUGAGGGAAGACGGCCCUACGGGUUGUAAACCUCUUUUGUCGGGGAACAAAGCGAACCACGUGUGGUUCAUUGAGAGUACUCGAAGAAAAAGCAUCGGCUAACUCCGUGCCAGCAGCCGCGGUAAUACGGAGGAUGCGAGCGUUAUCCGGAUUUAUUGGGUUUAAAGGGUGCGUAGGCGGAGUUGCAAGUCAGCGGUAAAAUAGCGGGGCUCAACCCCGUACUGCCGUUGAAACUGCAUACCUUGAGAGCGCGAGAAGUAUGCGGAAUGAGUUGUGUAGCGGUGAAAUGCAUAGAUAUCACGUAGAACACCGAUAGCGAAGGCAGCAUAUCGGAGCGCAACUGACGCUCAUGCACGAAAGCAUGGGUAUCGAACAGGAUUAGAUACCCGUGUAGUC